rnacentral:rRNA from 1 species
UACGGGGGGGUGCGAGCGUUGUCCGGAAUCACUGGGCGUAAAGGGCGCGUAGGUGGUUUGAUAAGGGUGUGGUGAAAGCCCGGGGCUCAACCCCCGGGUCUGCCGUGCCGACUGUCAAACUCGAGGGCUGUAGAGGCAGACGGAAUUCCGGGUGUAGCGGUGGAAUGCGUAGAGAUCCGGAGGAAGACCUGCGGCGAAGGCGGGUAGCUGGGCCGACACUGACGCUGAGGCGCGAAAGCGUGGGGAGCAAACAGG